rnacentral:tRNA from 1 species
UAGAUUGAAGCCAGUUGUGUAGGGUAUUUAGCUGUUAACUAAAUUUUUGUGGGGUUGGAGCCCAUCAGUCUAG